rnacentral:lncRNA from 1 species
GCUCUGAGAGGCAACCAUUUCUAGGGAAAGGUCUUGUCCUCUUAGUAACAACAACAAAAGAAGUCCAUUUUCAAACAUCUAUUAGACAAUGUCAAUCUUUCUUUUCAAUUGUAUGCUUAGCUUAGCAAAGAGAGUCAGGUGGAAUCUCACACCUUGCCCAAAUUGUAUUUGGUGUGAGGCUCUUCAAAGCUUCCAAGACACCAUCCUUCUCCUCUCCCCCUAUCAGUGGAACAGAUAAAACUGGAGCAACCUGCAUUAUUCUAAAACCAUAGAGAUGAUAUUUCUGUUUGCUUUUCUACUCAUUAGGAAGCUCUGAGAGGAUGCAUAAGAAAUGAAUCACAGUGGGUGAAGAAACUGGACAGACUUCAGUGGGUGAGGAAACUGGGGAGACUUUUCACAUGUACAUUUUGGGUAUUUUUAAACCAUGAGAAUUACUGCCUAUUCAUGAAAAAUUAACCUGAGUAGAAUAUAUAUGAGAGAGUUGCUGCUAAAUAUAUUCCACAUAAUACCACAUAUUGAGGAGGAGGAUGUUACCUACUGAAGAUAUGGGAUUGAAAAACAUGCAAUAACUUUCUGUUUUGCUCAAUGGGUCAUAAGUUGAAAAUUAGACUAGAAAAUAUUUGUUCAGAGAAGUACAAAAUCUUAGGUGAGGCAAAAUGCACACUAGUCCUCUCCUCCCUUAUCUUUCCAAAUGGGGAGACUUGUCAGUUUAAAGCCAUUUGCUCCUCCAGUUAAGUUCUAGGAUCGUAGACUUGGAGGACUGGCUGAGCCAUCAGUCCCAAGUGGAAAGGCUAAGCUAAGCAUACAACUGAAAAGAAAGAUUGACAUUGUCUAAUAGAUGUUUGAAAAUUGACUUCUUUUGUUGUUGUUACUAAGAGGACAAGACCUUUCCCUAGAAAUGGUUGCCUCUCAGAGCACUCCCCUUCACAUACAUCCUCUUACACCUUAGCAGCCUGAGCAAUUUUCUCCCUUCCCAAGGCUUUACCUAGGUGUAAAAGUUCUUGUUACUCAUGAACUUUAAGUUUAAAUAAAAAAGGGGGGAGUAAUGAUGUAAACUCUUUUCAUGUUGUAAACUCAGAAACAAAGGGAUCAACUAAGCAGGGUGUGGAACAAUCGACCCCUUCUACCCAUAGGUCAUUAAAUGGCUGCUGGAUGCCAAAAAGAUUUUAAGCUAGAACUGUUUUCCUUUUCAAGAAAUAUGCAAAUAAACAAACAAACUCUACCAAAGGAUAGAGCUCUUCAGGUCAUUCUUUUGUUUAUGUCUCCUGCAGCUUUUCCUGUUGCAUAGUCCCAGCUAAUAAACAACUUAAGCCACUCUUACAGUGAAGUUCAAAUUGCAAAAUAAGAGACUUAACUGUCUUGUUUAAAGGUAUGCUAUAUAUCAAGUCACAAGGCAAUAAUAUCUAUUCUAUCCUUUUGCGGCAAUAAACAGACCCGCCCCAAAACACAAAAUCAGAUGGCCUUUUCCCACAAAGGCAGGUGGUUAACAAUAGGAUUUCCAAAGGGCACUCAUUUAUGUUGGAAGCUGAUAGGCAUUUCACAUAGUGACCAGGAGAAAGAAUGGGUCAAUGUUUGUAAUACCCAAAAAGGUGGCAACUGGGGGAAACGGUGGGGCAGGAAGGAAAUGGAAGGGAGUUGAAAGCAUCCUUGGUUUCCCCAGCUGUUUGCAGAAGUUGGAACAUACGGUGCCAGGAUUUUUCCAAGAUGGCAAGGGAUAGAAAGUAAAAUUAUUACCCCCUGCCCCCCGCCAAAGAAUGCCUUCCAACAAAUAAAGAUGUAUUCGCAGUUUGGAGACUUUUCUCCUUCCACAGGAAAUGAGCAGAGGUCACUUAGAACCAAUUCUCAUCAUUUAGUAAAAAUAACAGGGUGAUAAUAGAAGCAACAGAAGGAGUCAAGGUGUUUGUGCUAAAAAAAAAAAACUUUAAGUUCAGGCCUGGCCUGGAGUGGGAAUAUCCAAAUGGGUUCUUCAUAUUUCAAGUUUUAUAGACAGUCUUUUCCCUAAAGGAUAUACUUUCAUUAGGUCAUAAAUGCACCAACAGAUGAGAGAGGGAAAGAGGUGUGUGUGUGUGUCUGUGUGUGUGUGUGUGUUUGCAUGUGGCCAGAAUGGCAGAGCAGGUAUGGAGGUCAGGCUGUGCGGGGAGGUGGUGGGGCUGUGUGUCACCCACCUGUGAGGGCAGCAGCCAGGGACUACGACUUCAGGUGGCCCUCUGUGCCUAGGCUUCUCCUUGGUUAUCUUAGUUCUCAGGUUUCCCGUGGGUUCCACUGAGGCUCCUAAUUGCUCCAAAUCCAGGCAUUUACUUGCCUAAAGGCCACAAGAAGUGGGGUGGGGACGUAUCUUUUUCAGAGAGUUUGUUAAAAAUUUAACUCAGAGAAGUGUAUUAGUUGGGGCCUCAAUGCCUGAACUUGGGUGGGAGAAAAAUGGGUUGUUUGGCGACUUUCAUUUCUCGCUGGACCCCAAUUCCCCAGAUUGGAGAGGUUUACCUCCUCCAAAACCCAAGGGGCCCAACUGGGUGCCCCUCGGGGGCCAAUGCUCUUCAUCUUCCCACUCCCUGUUCCAUGCAAGAGAGGACUUUGCAGACAGAAUCGUCCUGACCCGAUAGCCACGUAGGCUUCCUUCCGAGCACUUCUCAAAGUGAGUCUGGGUUUUGCUACCAGUAUCAAUUAGCCGCUUCUGGCGAAUCCCAGAGAAUGUUUAAUUAACUCCACAGCUCUGAUUCACACUUACAGGUUGGUAGCAGUUUAAAAUUAUUGUAAAACACCACCCGGAUAAUAUAUUUACUUUUUGUCUAGGCCAGAUUAGCAAGACACGCGCACACACUCUACGUUUAAGUCACACCCUGCAAUGCAGAGAAAAUAUUUCAAUAGGCAUCUGCAGGCGGCCGAGAAGAACUGGAGCAAUGAUUAUUUUCCUCCUUUUUUGAUUUUCUGUUUCUAAAGAAAGCACUGGUAUCAAGGACGAGUUAGGUAAUGCGUAUUAAAAGGCAAGCAGGUCGCUCUCGUUUACGCCCAAUCAUAGUUCAUAGUUCAAGGAAAACUGCCUUUAAUUGACACCGUGUAUAUUCCUCUGCUCCUCUCAGGCUGCCCUGGCAGGGACGCCCCAAGAGUAUUUAUUUCUAGGGUUGGAAACAAAACAACCAACCCCGUCUACUGCGUAAGAGAGCGUUCCAAGAUGGACUGCCGGAGAAAGGCUUUUUGACCCCUGUGGAAAUUAGUCAUAUUGACAGACGCCCAGGGAAGGUAAAUUACCCCGCGCGCUGACGUUACGCAGAGGCGCACCGGGUUCCGACUCCACCGCGGCGCCGAGGGGGCCAGAGGCUCCCAGUUCUUCCCCGCAUAGUUCGACAAAGCCCUACUUUGCUUCCCUGGGUCUGGGAUCUCAACGUGAAGGGGGCCGAGAGAGCGGUGAUAAGGUGCUAGAAAGGAAACGGCAAGAGGAAACUAAAAAAGUGGAGAGAAAUUUUGUGCGCCGUAGUGCUUAGCAAGCUGGGGAAACGAGGAGAAAACGAGCAAAGUCUACAGGGGAGGGAGAGAGGGAGGAGGCAGGGAAGGAGAGGACCACGAGGCUCCCGGCGCCCAGGCCGCCACUUGGGAGGUCCCGGCCCCAAAGCAGGCCGGGCCAACCGUCCCCCCGGGAGGCUCGGGGCUCGGGCGGGGUCACAAUUACACCUCGGCUCCAGGCGAGGACUUAAAAACCAAGUGGUGGGGACUGCAGUCUGGAAGCAAGGCCCUGCGGUCAUCGGAGGGGGGCCAGGCCCGUGCACAGGAACCUUUUACAAGGCAUGUGGGUACAAGAAAAAAAAUCAAAAUAAACCACUUUCAUCCAGCAUGGGCAGUGAAAAGAAAAGCUGCCUUCCAGAGGGGGCGAGCGGGAGUUUUGAAAUUCAUUGUGUGUUUUGCCUUUAUAUAAGGAGUUUUGCGUUUUUUACCGAUAACCAAAGGGGGACACUAGGGGGAAGUAACUGCUAUUUUUUUUUUCUGGAGAGGGCUGAAAUAAGGGGUUCACCGGUUCUUUCACAAUCAGAUGGUGUCCCAGGACUGCAAGUAACUGCGUACAUCCACACAGCGCAUUACACCAACCUGAGAAGAAUCCUUGCGUGACCGGAUUGUUUCUGAACCUGCCGAGCCCCUGCUGCAUCUGGGACCCGCCUUCACCGUUUCCCAAUCCCAGCGGUUAGCCCCUGCGCCCCCUUUUUGGUCUCCACUUUGCCGUUCGAAAAUGCCUAGGUUGGUGGAUCGACCCUCCGCGGAGCAAAGACGGAUGGCUGGCAGGAGCAGGUUCAGGAGCUGGGCCAAGUUUCACACGAAGAGACUUGGAGUAUCUGGAGAAGGUUUUUGAAGACGUUUAGGAGGGAGGGUGAGUUUUCUGCUGAGAAACUCAAUCUGCCAUACAGUAGCGGCCCCAUCUGGGAUCUGUCACUGCUGACAGCACCAGAGGGCACAGCCGUGAUCUUCUGCACAGCCUGCACUCCCCGAAAUACCCUCCUUAAUCAAAGGAUGUCUGCGCGCCUGAGCUCAGCUGACCGCGCCGGGAGCACCAGGGCCGUUGGAUUCCACCCCAGCCCGCCCCCUCCCCACGCACACAGCCACGGCCCCUCGCGUCUUCGCGGCACGUUAAUUAAAUGCGGAAAACAGACAGAGGCUGAUGUCAUUGCUCUCACAAGAUCAUAAACGUAAAAGAGUCAUCCUGUGAGAAUCCCUGAAAAUGACUUUAAUGAAUAAUUUCAGAGACAGUUAUGACUUUGGGUGAUUACUGAGCAAGAAUAUGAAAACCAGAUUUGCAAAGCGAAGGCGAUGGUCAAAAGGCCUGGCAGUUACUUUCUCUCAUUAAAACCGCACCGGCUUUCCUUCUUCGCCAAGUACUAGUUACCAACUGAGGUUGCGUUUUCAGGUUUUCUUCUUCAAAAUAACAGUCUUCUUUUCCUGCUUUUCUGCCUUAUCCUAAAGACAAAAUGUCAGCUCCAGGGAACGACAUUAACAACCCACUUUAAAUUGAAGGCAACUCUGCACUGGCGUCAGUGGCCAUUGGCUUCCAUCUUUUUACAAAGGUUGGAUUUACUGCCAUCUUAGGAUCAUAUCUCUUUUGGCCUCUUCUCUAGGCAAUGUAUUUAAUGAAGGUUGAACAUUCUCACUGACCCUGAGUCAGUGCACUGUUUGUUGUAAAGGAUCUCAGCUGGUGGGGCAAAAAACAAGUUCCAAACAACCUGCCUUUACAGAAGAGUCUCCCUGACUCUUUAGUUCUAGGUCACCAAUGAACUGAAAAAUGAUUUGGUGCUACAUUAAGGAAUAUUUUCAAACACUCCAUCUGGCCAUGGAGAAGCAUCCAGUUGGUUAUAUCUGGUUGCUCAUGCAUUAAAAAUACUAUUUGAGAAAACAACUAGGGUGUUAGUUGUGGAAGUGGCCUGGUGAGUACCCUCUGAUCUUUUGCACGAAGUUUAGCUGCCUGCAAGUCUGUCUUCUUUGCUUGAAAAUAUAAACUGGGACUCUCUGGGCCUGUGUCCCAUGUGGAUUUAUUCCACUUAAUUCAAGUAAAAGUUUGUUUAUACUCUGAGCAAGAAAGUAUUAUAGGCACAAGUGAUGUGGAGUUUUCAGUUUGCUUGUUUUUUGCUGUUGUUUGUUUGCUUUUGAGCGAUCUGAGUGAUUUAGAAAACUAAUGUGUCUCAGUCGGCUCCACCAUUCAGACAGAUCAUAGAGAACCCACUUACCAGCACUCUAGAAAACUGUACUUUGUGCAGACAUUGCCUGAUCCUCCCCUUUCUAGAAGCACAGAUAGGCCAGAAUCCUUCAGUCACUGAGGACACAAUUGUCUAAAAGCCUCAUUCCCUAUCAUUAGCCCCCAAACCGCAGAGCUGUUUCCUUCCCUCUUGGCUCCAGAUAGGGGUGGGUGGGAGAGGGGACUAGGCUCUCCAUGUGACAUUUCCCUGACUUGAGAGGAAAUGUUUCUUUCUGAUUCUAGAUUACAUGAAGACACUUUGGAGUUGGUGUAUAGGGUUUCCUCAAAGAACUGAGGUAACGUGGACUUUAGGGAAUUUUCCUCAAUUGGAUUCCCUGUUUAUUUGUGAUACUAUUUGUGUCCCCCAAAUAGAUCUUCUUGUUGCUCCACUCACAUCAUGAGCAGUUUUCCUUUUCCUCUAGUUACAUUCACUCUAGCUUCUGACUGAAGACUCUGCUUGCCCUUUGUAGCCCGUGCAGGAAUAAACAGCAUCUUCUGGAUUUGCUUUGAAUCCUUGUGCUGCCCAAUGAGUCAGAGGUGUAGGGUUGAUCCAAUAAUAUGGCUAAUUCUCUCCCUGUAAAGACUUUAAAUAAUGUAGGCCUCUCUUCACCCAUCCCCCAUUCUCACCAUCCUGGACUUCACGCGGGUCAUGGAGAAGGUGUCCAGGGUGGGAGGCACGCUGGGUGGGUGUGGCCUCCUUUGGCACAGUGGUUCGGCAUCCUCUGGGGGAGAUUUUGAAAACUGCAGGCUCCGCGUCGAGCCCCUGACCUGCUGAAUCAGAAUUUCUGGUGAAGGUAGGGUGAAAACGGGGCUGAAUUUGUCAUUGUAUCAAGUUGUCCGGGGAGUGGAAAGUCCAGGUGUUGGAUUAAUCCCAGCACCCCUUACUUCAGAAGAGACCAGGCUAUCCCGCAGAACGCUAGGGUCAGAGGUCUGGGGCAUCAGUCAGCCCGUCCAGGAAUUAUGCAAAUAUAUGCAGCCUCUACUCUGAACACUGGGACGUAGUAGGGGACAAAGCUGCCGCCAGCCGUCCUCGUCCUUGCGAGGUGUCAGUGUUUGCGCCAGGGACAACUCCCUGGAGGGCUGGGGGAAGGGAGGGGCAAAAGAGGGUCCAGGGCCUCAGCUCGCUAUGUACUUUAGGGUUUAAUAACAGGUGCAAAGGCAGCUGCUAAAAGACAUCGCAUUCUGUAAUCAGCUUCUGCCAGGCUGUCCGGCUAAACAGAAACUCCCACAAUUUUGGCCCGAGGGCUGUAGGGCGGAGCGGGUGCCAGUGAGAUGAGGGCAACCCUAAGAGGUGGCAUAAGAGCCUUACCCCUAAGAGCCACCCCAACCCCAUCCGGGGCUUGCACCGGCACCGCCUGGGCCGCAGUUGUUGCCUCAGGGAAGCUUCGCCCUGGCGCAGGGAUAGAGCAAAGAAGCGACCGCAUGUGGAAGGCUUUCCAGGCGGAAUGCUCCAGCCGUAGCGAGUUGGAAAAUUUAGAGUGGGGAGGGGGCAGUAGAGAUGUUAACUGGCCCCUCCUCACCCCAAACAAGGAAAACACAGUCUUCUGGGCUAAAAAUACAUAUUUAUGAAGUCCCUAUACGCAGGCAGGCGGCGCGUUCCAGCUGCCGGCCUGGCCCAGGGAGGACUUGGCCGCGCGGCCGCCGAUUACACCCAACUCGGCUGGGAUGGCUCCGAGCCGUCUGCCCUGACGUCAGCGAGGCUCCGGCCCCGCCGCGGCAAGAUAGGCGAGCGCGGCCGGGCGCGGGUGCGGCACUAAUCACUCCCAGAUGUCCCUAAUAGCGGAGAUAAAGACGGACAGAGCGGCCGGGAAUAAAUUUGUAAUCAGGGCUCUACCAUCUGAUCAUCAAAGCGGCCCAAAUGCCGGGAGAAUUUGAAGGGAAUGCGUGUGAGGGGGGUCGCUUGGGGGAAGAGGUGAGGGUGCACUUCGCGAUGGGAACUGGCUUCGGUAGGGUAGAGCAGGGAGAACAGGGCGAGAGAUCUGUAAGUUCGGUGCACGUAAGUCGGAUACUCGGUGCUCUUUAACCUCCAUUAGCCCUCAGACCGAAGCCGUUUAGCGGUUCCAGGCUGAUUGGAGCUGCGCAGUUGCUGUGCGGGAAGCACGCGUUGCGCAGCGGCUGGGUGGUAAGGCGGCGCGAUGAGAACUGUCCGGCCCCCGGAAACGUGGGAUUGGUUUCCUCUCCCGGAGUUCUCCCCUCCCCCUUCUUUCUAAACAUUUAAAAAACACGUAGUCCGUCUCCCCCAACCCCCAUUCCCGGUAGACUUAAUCCCAACAGCAAUUCAUUGCACCGCGGAGCUUCCUCAGGGAGGGGGCUGUUGGAGCCUCCAACCAGGGUCCUGGGCCCCAGUCUGAGAAUGACUCCUGGGUUUUUCUCUCCAAGCGAUCCGCAGGCUCUGACAGGCCAGGAGUCGCGCGCGUCCGGGAGACUCCUUAGCGCCCCCUCCUCACGUGGAGAUCUGGACUCUCAGGAGCUGGGCCCAAUGGAAGGAAUGGGUACCCUUGGGUCACCAGGGUCCAGAUUCGGCCCUCUACGGCGCCCAUGCCACAAGCCUCCCUCAAGACCAUCUCUGCUUGGCACCCACUAGCCAGCUCCUUUUCCAAAUCUAGGAGCCUGGGUGGGACUCACAGGCAGGGAGAACUCAAGGCGGCUGUGGAAAACAAAAUCGCGUGCCGCCCGCGCAAUAUUUGAUUAAAGCUUCAGGGCUAACUGAGCGGUUUCUUGCGCUUUGCAGGCCCGCAGUGUAUGUUCAGUCCCAGUUUUCCUGGCACCCUUUGCCCUGCUUAUGUCCCCUGCACACACCUCAGGCCCUUGCAACUGGCCCGGGUUCUCUCUGCAAAUCUGUAGUCUGGGAAGGAACUCCCGGGUCUCGUACUCCCUGCCGCUUUGCAUUUGAGCUCUCACCUUCCUCACCCCUUCCUGCGAAUUCCAGGUGCGCUUACCUCUCUUGUUCUCCUGCUACUUCACCAAUCCGAGCGGGAGACUAGCUCUGCAAUUCACGCCAAGCUGGGGCAGCGGCUAGCAGAGUCUGGUCGAAGGAAUUGAACCACCUUCCACUCCCGACACACGCACAAGUGCUAAGAGGCCCCCAGGCUGCGCUCCCUGGCACGGCUGCUACGCUCACCUCAUCACGACCAAGCAGCCUGGUGCUCCUACACCUAAGGAGGCAACCCAGACCCAGAGGUCCACCCUUCCUAGAUGCCUGGGCCUGCUGGCUAACCCAUCCCGAAAGCUGGAGCUUGCUGUCUCGGCCUGGAAAAGCCCUUUAAGUUGCUGUCAGUGCCCAGGCAAUUGGGAGCGGGGCCCCCACUCUGCAGUUUUUCAAAUUGCUUCCCAAGCUGAGAAGGGGUUUGCGCGCGCGCACACACACACACACACACACACACACACACCGUCUACAACUGGCCAAGCCUUUGCCCCUCCGGUGCUCCAGGGUUAUCAGACGCUGGGCCUGCACAGCGGUCUGGGGCAGAGCCCUGACAGCCAGAUCUACCAUCAAUUUACCUUCCGCCGCCGCAGCUUCCCAUUUAGCUUUUAACGUCAAAUCCUACAUUUUUGUCGGCUCCGGCCUGUCUAGAACGCUUGUGAUUUCCCUGCAGGAGUGAUUGCUCUUAACAAAAUGGCAGCAACCACAUUAUCCGAGCAAUUAAAACAGAGGCCUUUUAGCCGGUCCCGCAAGUAGAGGCUUGGAAAAUUUUUUUAAACAAAGAAGAAAAAGUUAAAAGAGAAAUAAGUGUUGGAAGAGAAAAGCAUGGAAGCUCAGAAGAAACGUCUGCCCAGUACGCCUUUCACUUCCUGGGACUUGACAACCUGGGGCGGGGAUGUUGGGUGGCUGAGAGCGGCUGGGGUGACAGAUAAUCUGGGGUGUCCUGCAGGUUGAAGCAUCUGGUCAGUUGGGGUGUGCGUCUGGUUAGGGGGUUCAGCCGCCUGCAGUGUCAGGCAGCUGGGCAUUCUGCCGUCUGGGGUGUCCGGUCUGCUGGGUGUCUGGCUGGUUAGGGUUUCUGGCGAGUUGAAAUGGCAGGGCGGGUGGGGUGACCAGGCCUAGUGUUGCUGGCCCUGAGGAAGAGGAGGCAGGCUGUGCUUGGCCGGGGCCAAAGAGGAGCGCAGGUUUAAAAAGCAAGUGUAUUAGCAAGUUUCUCCGUAGCAAUGGUGCGCCAGGGUCUUUUGGUUUCCCUCUGUUGUUGUUUAAUAAGCCAGAGAAAGUGUUAAAUCUGCAGAAGUGCCUUAAGGCCCAGAUGGCGGAGACCAGCUACACAAGGUGCAGAGAAGCGUAGGUGCAUGGUGAAGAUAACUCCUCUCCGUUUCCUGUUUUUAAAACCUCACCUCCUCCGCCACUGUUUACUCCAACACUUUGGUAGGCUCCUUUCUUCCACGUCUAGGACCUGAUGGCUUUCUCCUGAGCAGAUUAAAAUAAAGACGCGGAAGACAACUGGAAUCAGGAGAGGGAGGGAACCACUGGAUCAAACGCAGGAGGAUUGGGAGAGCAACAGAAAAUCAGGGCGCGCCUCCCCCACACCUCCUCCCCAUGCUAUAAACAAAGCCUCCUCCCCCCUUCCCGCAGCCUGCACAGGCACUUUAGUUUCUCCGGUUUCUAGAGCUGAGAUUCAAGCUUCCGCCAAGGCUGCAGGCAAAGGAGGCCGCUGGGACUUUCUUCUGGGACGAGCUGGGACUCAGGGAGCCCAAAGACCCAACAGGGAGAGAUCCCGGGUCCCGUGCUGCCGGUAGUCCCGGAAGGGUGUCGCUUGUUUCGCUGGGCUGCGGCCGGGAAGACUUCAGACACCGCACAGUUAAUAUUGAGUUCCCUGUAACUCCUUGUAAAUCUAACCCGCCCCUCGCCCCUCUUUAAAUCCGUGGUCUUGUUCACGAUUUCUUACUUGACGUAAAAUUCCUUGUUACCUAAUCAUGGACUUUUUCGAAACUCCCUCCACCCCCCUUUCCCGCCUGCUCAGAUGAGAAGCCCCCGUAUAGAAUACAAGCAAAAUCCUCUCCUCUCUUUUCUUUUUCCUUUUUUUUUUCUUGGAUGAAAGCCCCAUAGUUUGAA